GCUACACAGUCCGCCGUGGCUCUCUGCAAUUAUGGCUGCCUCCACAGCGUCGUCGUCAUACUCUGCCGGUCUAAGCGCCGCCUGCUGUGUGUCUCCGCGCCAUGGCAGCAGCUUCGUCAAGCCGCAGCGCUCUGGACGGCCGGCGGCGGCGGCGACGGCGACCCUGCCCGCGUCAGGCGGCGACCAGCCGAACCUAUCGUUAGACUACUGCUGUAGGAGUAAGAGUAGGGCUGGAAGAGGCGAGCGAAUCAGGGCUUCAGAUGAUGCUGCGACCAUCAUGGACGCGGGCGGCUGGGCAGCACGGCUUGAAGCCCCGCCGCCGGUAGCCGUCGUCACUGGAGCGUCUAGAGGGAUUGGCAGAGCCAUAGCUGUAGCACUUGGCGGAGCAGGGUGCAAGGUGGUUGUGAACUAUGCCAAGUCAGGCGUGGAGGCCGAAGAGGUGUGCAGAGAGAUCGAGGCGUCCGGUGGAACGGCGGUGAGCUUCGCUGCCGACGUCUCCUGCGAAGCCGACGUCGAGUCCAUGAUGAGGGCCUUGUGUGUUACUACUGCAGGCCAUUGAUGCCUGGGGAACUCUGGAUGUGCUGGUGAACAAUGCAGGGAUUACACGUGACGCGCUGCUGAUGCGGAUGAAGAGGACCCAGUGGCAAGAGGUGGUGGAUGUCAACCUCACCGGCGUUUACCUCUGCUCGCAGGCUGCAGCGACGCUGAUGAUGAAGAGGAAGAAGGGAAGGAUCAUCAACAUCGCAUCCGUCUCCGGGAUCAUCGGCAACGUCGGGCAGGCCAACUACUGCGCCGCCAAGGCUGGGGUCAUCGGCCUCACCAAGGCCAUGGCCAGGGAGUACGGCGGCAGAAACAUCAAUGUGAACGCCGUGGCGCCGGGCUGGGUGGCGUCCGACAUGACCGCCGGACUAGGGGACGGCGUGGAACGGAAGGCGCUGGAGACCAUACCAUUGGGACGGUUUGGGAGACCAGAAGAGGUCGCCGGCCUGGUGGGGUUCCUGGCUGUUCAUCCUGCUGCUAGCUACGUCACCGGACAGGUGCUCACUAUUGAUGGUGGCCUGUCCAUUUGAGGGUUUUCUGAUCCUGCCAACAGAACUACAGAGUCAAGCACAACGACAACAAAAAAAGGAAAUCAGAAGCUACAGAAGGCAGCAAAAGACUGCUGGAGUUUGAAAACAAAAUGCAUCGAUAACUAAACUGAAGAAUCAUUGUUAAAAAGAAGCUAUGCAUGGGAGAGAUAAAUAAAGUAAAUCGUCUUGCUUCGGAAGCGUUGUUUGGCCCAAGGAUGAGAAAACGAGAAUGGUAUUCUGACGAAUACGAGGAUAACUUUUUAAAUUUCAUUAUCGUUUUUUUUAAAUAUCUUCUAUCUGGAAACGGGCCCAACAAGUUGGCGCUCCUUCCAUGGUCUCUGGGCCUUCCUAGCGCCAUGCAAGUCUUCAGCGUCUUCUGUGCGCAAGUCUAAUCUGCAAACUAGAAUGGCAGCAGUGAGAAUGAAUUUACACGAACGUCGACUAGUAUGCCGGAGAAGAUAUUGCUGCUCUUCGAUAAGGCCAGGAAAUCAGCUGAAGUCGUCAGUUUACCACUGUUCUGUGCUGCCGGAUUUCUUUUCAGUCCUUCUUGAUUGAACGGCCCAAAUGAAGGCGUUAGCGUGGAACAUGCAUGCUAACUGUUUGAACCAAGAAGCAAGAACUUGUGCCAAACUAAUGAGUAAUGACACACUUACGCUUCAGAGUUUGGGUCUCGUUCCGUAGAAGAUCUAAUGAGAAGAUGCCAGACCCACUCUGUAUUUCAUUCACCGUGCCAGCUUUUGUCAUGAACACUGUUGCUGCCGUCGUGCCUUUUGUAAAAUCUUGGGAGUCCAAGCAGAACGGCACUGUGCAUCAACGUCGGUGCAGACGGGGAAUAUAAGUCUUUGUUUGUUUUUUUUUUCAGAAGAUUAAUCGGUUCAUCAUUUACUCUUUGAGUGUGUAGUAGAUAAACAGCAUUGCUCAAACAUUUCUGAGUUAUUUGGU